rnacentral:lncRNA from 1 species
AUGUUAUUACGAAAAAAAGAACAUGAUGAUAGACAAAAACGAUUAGAACAUAUAAUAAAAAAAGAAUAUUAUUAUAACGAAGGUACAUCAAAUGAUUAUGAAAAGAAUGUUACAGAUGUAGUACUAUCAAAAAAUAAAUAUAUGUCGAAUGAAAAAUGUGAAUGUUUAAAAUGUGAAUAUAUUAUAUUAAUUGUAACUGAGUACAUUAAAAAAAAAUGUAAAAUAGAUAAAUAUAUAUUAGCAUAUCAAGAUUUAUAUAAAAACAUUGAACAGUAUAUUAAUUUGAUUAAAAAAGAGUCAGAUAUUGAUAUAAUUGUUGAGAAUAUUAUACAAAAAAUGAAUGGCAGAACAAUGUUAAACUAUUAUAAUGUACAAACUUUUAAAAAGCAUUUUAACAACAAUUAUGACAACAGUUAUAACAACAAUUAUGACAACAGUUAUAACAACAAUUAUGACAACAGUUAUAACAACAAUUAUGACAACAAUUAUGACAAAAAUUAUAACAACAAUUAUAACAACAGUUAUAACAGUUAUAACAAUAAUCGCAACAAUUAUAACAAUAAUUAUGAUAGAGGUAUUGACUAUAUCAGUAGUGUGCUAAAAAUAAAAAAUAAAGAAAAUUUAAACAAAACAAAAAUAAAUGAUAUAGAAAUGGAAACAUAUACUAUUUCAGUUAUAAUAAAAAUAAAUACAAAACUAUUAAAAUCAGUUCCUAUGUUAAAAAAAGUUUUGGAAACAUUAAAGAGUGAUAGUGAUAAUAAUUAUUACAUUGGUAACAGGGUAGGCGUUAUAGAAAACAUGAGAAAUAAAAUUUAUAAUUAUUUAAAAAAAAAAAAUCAAACGAAUAACAUAAAAAAGAAUUCGAUGCUUAAUGAAAAUAAAAACCAUCGAAAAAUUUCCCAUCCUGAUAAUUAUACGAAUACUACAAAUAAUAAUGUUAUUACUAUUAGUAGUUGUCCGACCGAACAUACUAAAGAAAAUAGAAAAGGGACUGACAACAUAGAAAAUACAACAUAUAAUAAUACAAAAAUAAUAAAUUUAGAUAAAAAAUGUAAUAAUAAUUGUUUGUUAAAUAAAAAGGAUGAAGUUCCUAUUAAUUUUUAUGAAAUAAAUAUUACAACAAAUAAAAAUUUGAUAAGUAUAAAAAGUAUUAUAAUGUUGAUCGAACUUGUUAAUUUGUUUUACUCUUACUUUGUUAAGCAGGUGGUAGAAAAAGAUUCAUCAGGGGUAGGGAUAGAUGUAGGAGGAGAAACAAAAACAGAUGCAAAAAAAAAAAAUGAAAGAAGUGAACAUAGUGUAGUAGGAAGAAACAUAAAAAGUAGUAAUUAUAUGAACUCCCAAAUUUUAAAAAAUAAAAAUAUAUAUUGUGAUGAGUACAAUAUUUUACUUUUUUACAGCAUUAUUUUAGGAAAAAUUAGAAAAAGAACAAAAAAAAAAAAAAAUCAAUUAUUACAAUAUAAUGUAUCUCGAAAUUUGUCAGAUACUUUAAAAAAUGAAAAAAAUAAAAAAUAUAUAAAAAAUGAGAACAAAUAUAAUAACAACAUUAACAAUAAAAAAAGUAAAAUCAGUAGUACUACACCCCAUGGCUAUUUAGAAUAUAAUUAUGAAUAUUAUGACCCAGAAGAUAUGUACUUAUAUGAUAAUUAUGAGAGGUAUACAUAUAACGAAAAUAAGAAUUAUAACAGAAAUAAAGUUGAUGUUUGUGAUGGUACAGUAGCAGAUACAUACUUGAAAAAAAAGGAAAUUAACUAUCAUACUAAUAAAAUAUAUAAUAUAGAUAAUAAAACAUAUAAUAUAGAUAAUAAGACUUACAACUCCGAUAAGUUCUAUGAUAGUAGUGAAAGGAAUAAUAAUAAAAUUAACAUAAAAAAUGGGUUUAAUAGAGAUAAUGUUAUUGCUAGUUAUAACAGUUAUUACCAUAAUAAAGGCCAUACUAACACUAACAAUUUUAAUUCUUUUAGUAACAACAGUGGCAGUAACAACAGUUGCAGUAACAACAGUUGCAGUAACAACAGUGGCAGUGACAGUCAGAAGAACAGAAAUAAUCACAUAUACAAUGAGAAAAAACUAAUUUUGAGAAAAAUCGAAAUAAAUGAAUAUAUCCAUCAUAUAUUUAAUUGUAUUGUAACAGAAUGUGACACAUAUUUGAAUAUUGAGCUGUUAUAUACGUUCCACACAUUUGGAAUGAAAUUUUUUUUUAAUUUGUUAAAAAGUUUUUUAUUAAAAAAAAAACAAUUAGAAGAUGAGUUUUUAAUUAUGUUAAUGUAUGGUGCUUAUAAAAUAGGUAAUGAUGAAAUUAUUUCUUUUUGUUUUUGGAGAUUAGUAAGUAUAUUAGAUAAUGAUUGUUUACCUUCUAAUUGGGUAAUCCUGGAUGAGCUUAAACAAAAUAAUAUUUCUACUGAUAGUAAUAAUAAUAAUAAUACAUUUAGAAACAAUAAUGGAGUGAGUAACGUAGUAAGUAAUGCAAUUAAUAAUGUUAUUAAAGGUGGAAAUAGUAGUAUUACUAAUACAUUAAUGUUUAAAAAAAAAUAUAACGAACUUAUAAAAGUAAUUACAGAAAGAAAAACAAAACAACGAAGAGAAAAAAUAACUAGUGCUUUGUUUUAUGAAGUAGUAAAUUUAUUUGAAGAUGAGAACAUUGAUAAUAUAACUGAGAUUGAUAUACUUAAUGGUAACUUUUAUUUUAAAAAAAAUUUAAUUGAUAAAAAUAUUUUUAUAAAUUUAAUUAACAAAACAAAAAAAAAAAUUUUCGAAUAUAAUUAUAUACCUAAAGGUUAUGCAAUACAUGAAGUUCAACGGAUACCAAAUUAUAAUAGCUAUUAUUCUUGUUAUGUAUUAAAAAAUAAUAAAAAAGAAAAAAUAUUAAUUGGAUUCAAAAAAAGAGGGUCUAAUAAAGUAUAUAUAUAUAAAUAUGAUAAAAAAAUAAAAAAAAAAUAUGAAACAAUAAAUAAAUAUUUUAAUAUGCCUGGAUUUUUAGGUAUACUAAUAUGUAAUUUUACAGGUAUGAAAAUUAAAAUAUAUGAUAAUGGUAUAUGUCCAAAAUUUGCAUCGUUUUUUCCUAACUUUGAAAAAAAAAACAUAAUUACAAUAAAAUUUGAAUCCAAUAUAAUAAGCGAAUUACCAAGACAUUUUAUAUGUGAUAUAUACAAAGAAAAUAAAGAUAUAAAAAUUAUUUAUGAAAAUAAAUGUCCUACAUGGAAUGAAAUAAAAGAAAUAUAUGAAUUGCCAUUUUAUGGUAGAGUUAAAUUAGCAAGCGCUAAAAAUUUACAAUUAAUAUUAAAAAAGUGUGUUUUUAGUAAUAACAAAAAACAUUUGUUUUGGAAUAAAAGUUUGAACGAUGUGAUUGAUUAUGUAACUAAUGAGCACAUUGGCCAGAUUGAUCAGAGUCGAGACGGGCGUAAAAAGAAGAAAAAAAAAAACAGUAGCGGCAAUGGCAACGACAGUAGCAUAUACACUCACGACGGUACUAGAAACGACACCAACAACAUUAACAACAUUAACAACAUUAACAACGUUAUUUAUAAGGAGGAAAAGAAAAUAACUACUAUCAGCAAAAAUUACAAAAAUAGCUAUAUGGAUAAAGAAAACGACAAAAUAUUAGUUUCUCCACCUAUAACACCUUUUGAUAACAUUCAAAAUAAUUUAUCAAAUAAAAAUAAAGAAAACUUAGAAAUUAUAAAUAAAGACGAAGAAGAAAUAUAUUUAAUUUUUGGUAAAAACGCAAAACAUUUUUUUACAUUAGAUUUUCGACAUCCUUUAUCAGCUUUUGAAUCUUUUUCUAUUGCUGUAUCAUCUUUACUUAAAAAAAAAGCGGUCUCAUGA